rnacentral:snRNA from 1 species
GGAAAUAAGCAUGAUCCACAUUUGUCACCCAAUUGAUUGCCAGGAUUCCUGAAACAGUUCAGGCUGAACAGGUGUGUGUCCCCUUAGUCCUUCACAGCUCCCUAUAUAUUUGUUCCAAUGCUGUGUGCUGGCUUGGAGAGGAUGACCUUUCCUAACAUAGAAGAACUGUUCUUUAACCAUGGGUAUAGGAGUAGCAGCAUGCUCACCUCUAAAAACCCCAAACAAGCUCCAAUCUCAUAAUCAAAAAAAUCAUGAUGAAAGCUUAUACUUCCAGAGGAACUGGCUAUGUACAAUUUUUUUUU